AUGUCAUCCCAACUGCCCUUCCUCCCCAUGGAAGUCAGCGCGGUCAGAUGCGGUGCAGGAGCUGCAGCUUCUCCGUCCCCGGAACCUCCGCGGGUCCCUUCCAGCCCCCACGAAUCCGCGCUUCGUGACGGCCAGCAGCGCGUCUUGACGCGUGGCUGCGGCCGGAGGGCCGUGCCCGGCCCGAGCCUUCCUGGGACCCGAUCCUGGCACCCGACCCCGCGUCCCGGCCCCGCCGCUCGCCCAGCCCGGCCCCCAAGGCCAGCCCUGCCCCCCGGGCCAGCCCUCCUCCUGCCCGGCGCCGAGCGGACCUGCCCGGUGAGAGCGACCGCCCCUCCCCGGCAGCUCCCGCAGCUGAAUUUGCUCCGGUCCCUUGGUUGGUUCGCUCUCUCCGAGAACUUUGUUUACAGUCCCUUGUGCCGCGAGCUGCAUCCCCUUCUUACGCUGCUGCGGGCUCGUGGCCGCCGCAGUCGCGCCCGGCAGUCGGGAGGAAACCUCCAUGCCAGAGCGUUGUCACCUCCGGUUCAUCACACAGCGGCAUCUGACGCCUCAAAGCCUGGCACGCUCUUCCCACUGCUCUGCCUGGAUCUGGGACAUCUGGCACUGGGGACACCUCAAGCAGGCGCCCUCCGCUCGCUGAGUGUGCGGUGAUGGAUUUCUCAUGGCCCCGUGCUAUGCAUGUUGAGCAGUGCCUGCUCUAGCCUGAGAACAGACGGUCUGCAGGGAAUCAAGAUGACAACCGAGCCUAUCAAAGAGAUCCUGGGCACCCCAAAGCAUGCCGACCCCACAACCACAGAGAAGAGUAAUAACAAUGACUGUGUGAUAACCACCAUCCCCCUGGUCAGCGAAUGCCAGCUGACGGCCGCCACGGGGGGGGCAGAGCUGUCCUGUUACCGCUGCACCGUUCCCUUUGGGGUGGUUAUCCUCAUCGCCGGCAUCGUGGUCACUGCUGUGGCGUACAGCUUCAAUUCCCAUGGAUCAAUCAUCUCCGUGUUCGGAUUGGUCCUCUUGUCAUCAGGACUCCUCCUGCUGGCCUCCAGUGCCGUGUGCUGGAAGAUCAGGCAGCAAAAUAAGAAAGCAAAGAGGCGCGAGAGCCAGACGGCGCUUGUGGCAAACCAGCGAACCCUGUUUGGCUGAAGGCAGCUGCCAGGCGUGGGCAGCAGCAGAGCCUCACCGCCAGCCCUCCUGUUUGUCAUAGACAGACUGCAGCUUUUAAUUUAACGUUGGGAAUGAGCUGACACGGAAACCGAAUGGAUUAACAAAGGCUCUUAACAAGCCUGCAAAUGCUCUUAUUAUUUUUCUCACCGCAGAUGUAAUAGUGAUCCUUUCCAAGACGGAGGAAAAACCAAUUUUCCUGCACAGAAAACUGUUUUCAUAACUGCAGUCGCCAGAAGUGCAUUCUCUGAAGCGCUGCUCGUCUUGGAAAGGGGACUCUGAGAGCGAAGACCAUAAUUUGAGCUGACUGGAAGUGCCGGAGGUCUCCUCAAAUCCGCACUGUGACAUUUGACCAAGGGAGAACUCGUAGCGUUUGCAGUGAGUUACGGCCAGAUUCUGCAGCUGACACUGAAACUCCGCAAGAAGAGCAAAAAAAUAAAAGCAAUAGCAACCAAGCAAACUGCAGAUUGCUCAAUAAGCUGAUUCGUAUCUUUUAUGUAACUCUUUCCCCCUCCCAAUAUCCGUGGUACUUCCCCCCCUUUUUAAACCAACUAAUAUUAAUGUUGUCCUAUUAUUGAAUACAAAUAGGUAGAAAUGUGUAAUUAUAUUGUCUAACCUAAGUAACGAGGUAUGGUUAUAGCUUAAAACACAGAACUCUCUUUUUGUAAAUUAAAGUGGUCGGGUUUAGCACUUUUGAUUAUUUUGCUAUAAAAUUAAAGAGUAAAUUUCAUUAAAAUAAUAUUCAGUGCUGCUAGAUAUUAAGAUUUUUGUAUCGUUACAAGGUAGCUCGUGUCUUCUGCUUUGAGUGCCUCACGAUCUUGGUGGUGUUUGUGGAGCAGCACCUCUGGCAGUAACUGAGCUUACAGACUGCUGAUCUCUUGCAGAGCUCCCUGCAGAAUGAGGGUUGGGUCUGAGAGCCCGUUUCUCCCACAGCCUGACCAGCCACAGUCGCUGAGGAGCUGCAGGUCUGUUCUGCAGGGCAGCACUGGCACAGCUCACAUCGCUCCCAGCUCUCAGCAGCCAGUGGUGGAAGAAGUGCUGUCCUGUGGUGUGCGUUGGGUGGGCUGUGGGGUUACAGGUCUGUAAGAAAGCGCAGCUCUCAGGUGCCCCCCAUAUGCAUGAGGUGUUCCAUUCUGUAAAUGUUGUGUUCCAGAGGUCUUCCAACUUUUCUUGGGCAGUGACCCAGGAAACCCUUGGGUUUCUUGGCUGGCCCCAAACUGCAGCCAAACAGAACAUUGUGGCCUCCUCUUUUUCUCAUUUUUCCCCCAACUCAGAAGGAUGGGAGCAGUUUCUGCCACCUCAGCUGCUGAGCAGUGCCGCAUCCGUCCCAUUGCCUCCUGCAGGUCAGCCCCGAGCCCUUCCCUUCUGCUGCAGCCGCCUAAGCUGGCCGGGUGAGGUGGCACCUUGCCCUCUGCCCCGCGUGGUUUGAGCUCGUUACAUCCAUAACUUAACCCCGCGUUUGCGAAGUGCACUUUGUGUUUUAAAUAGAGCAAGCUAUACGUACGGGAGGGGAUGUUUGGAGUCAGUAUUUGCGUUGCCACACUCCGUGGUUACCAGACGCUAUAAUAAAAUCACUUGCAUCAGAGGAAAGCUGACAACACAUUUUAGCACUUCCAGAGCUCUAUCUUAAUCGCGGCAGGAAGCUCUCCCGCUGCUGGGAGAACAUGUUGCGUCACCAGAAC
rnacentral:lncRNA from 1 species